UCUCCUCAGGUUCUGGCCAAUGGGCUGGACAACAAACUGCGUGAGGACCUGGAGCGGCUAAAGAAAAUCCGGGCGCAUCGGGGCCUGCGCCACUUCUGGGGGCUGCGCGUGCGGGGCCAGCACACCAAGACGACCGGGCGCCGGGGCAGAACCGUCGGUGUCUCCAAGAAGAAGUAGUGUCUGCCCUGUGUCUGCAAUAAAGUGCUGUUCUCA